rnacentral:rRNA from 1 species
GUUUAUGGCCAUGCCACCCUGAAUGCGCUCAAUCUCAUCUGAUCUUGAAACUAAGCAGAGUCGGGUCUGAUUAGUACUUGGAUGGGAGACCACCUAGGAAUAAUAGGUGCUGUAGACA